rnacentral:rRNA from 1 species
ACGCUCGACACCUACGGGAGGGCAGCAGUGAGGAAUAUUGGUCAAUGGGCGCAGGCCUGAACCAGCCAAGUAGCGUGAAGGAUGACUGCCCUAUGGGUUGUAAACUUCUUUUAUAUGGGAAUAAAGUUUUCCACGUGUGGAAUUUUGUAUGUACCAUAUGAAUAAGGAUCGGCUAACUCCGUGUCAGCAGCCGCGGUAAUCUGAGCGGGCUGGCAAGGC